GUUAUAUGGUCAAGUGACAAAGCGCAGACGGUGGAUGCCUAGGCGGUAAGAGGCGAUGAAGGACGUGGUAGCCUGCGAAAAGUCUCGGGGAGCUGGCAAAUACGCUUUGAUCCGGGAAUAUCCGAAUGGGGAAACCCACCUGCUUCAAGCAGGUAUUGCAUUCUGAAUACAUAGGAAUGCAAAGCGAACCCAGGGAACUGAAACAUCUCAGUACCUGGAGGAAAAGAAAUCAAUUGAGAUUCCCUCAGUAGCGGCGAGCGAACGGGGAUUAGCCCUUAAGUACAGUAACAGUUAGUAGAAUGCUUUGGAAAAAGCAGCGAAACCGGGUGAUAGCCCCGUAUACGAAAACUCUUAUUGUGUGAAAUCGAGUAGGGCGGGACACGUGUUAUCCUGUCUGAAUAUGGGGGGACCAUCCUCCAAGGCUAAAUACUCCUUACCGACCGAUAGUGAACCAGUACCGUGAGGGAAAGGCGAAAAGAACCCUGAUAAAGGGAGUGCAAUAGAACCUGAAACCGUCUGCGUACAAGCAGUGGGAGCUCUGAAAAGAGUGACUGCGUACCUUUUGUAUAAUGGGUCAGCGACUUACUUCUCAGUGGCAAGCUUAACCGCAUAGGGGAGGCGUAGCGAAAGCGAGUCUGAAUAGGGCGAUUCAGUCGCUGGGAGUAGACCCGAAACCGGGCGAUCUACCCAUGACCAGGGUGAAGGUGGGGUAACACUCACUGGAGGCCCGAACCGGGAUCUGUUGAAAAAGAUUCGGAUGAGUUGUGGGUCGGAGUGAAAGGCUAAUCAAGCUCGGAGAUAGCUGGUUCUCCUCGAAAGCUAUUUAGGUAGCGCCUCGUGUCUCACUACCGGGGGUAGAGCACUGUGUCGGCUAGGGGGCCAUCCCGGCUUACCAACCCGAUGCAAACUCCGAAUACCGGUAAGUGCAAUCACGGGAGACAGACGGCGGGUGCUAACGUCCGUCGUCAAAAGGGCAACAACCCAGACCGCCAGCUAAGGUCCCUAAAUCAUGGCUCAGUGGGAAACGAUGUGGGAAGGCUCAGACAGCCAGGAGGUUGGCUUAGAAGCAGCCAUCCUUUAAAGAAAGCGUAAUAGCUCACUGGUCGAGUCGGCCUGCGCGGAAGAUGUAACGGGGCUCAAGCCAUGUACCGAAGCUGCGGAUGCGUGUUUACACGCAUGGUAGGGGAGCGUUCUGUAAGCCGUUGAAGGUGCAUUGUAAAGUGUGCUGGAGGUAUCAGAAGUGCGAAUGCUGACAUAAGUAACGACAAGGGGGGUGAGAGUCCCCCCGCCGAAAGCCCAAGGUUUCCUGCGCAACGUUCAUCGGCGCAGGGUGAGUCGGCCCCUAAGGUGAGGCUGAAAAGCGUAAUCGAUGGGAAACAGGUUAAUAUUCCUGUACCAGGUCAGACUGCGAUGGGGUGACGGAGAAGGCUAGAUCAGCCGGGCGUUGGUUGUCCCGGUCUAAGCAGGUAGGCAGAAUCCUUAGGCAAAUCCGGGGAUUCAAUGCCGAGAUGUGAUGACGAGUGUCUACGGACAUGAAGUGAUCGAUGCCACGCUUCCAAGAAAAGCCUCUAAGCAUCAGGUCUGAUGUGACCGUACCCCAAACCGACACAGGUGGGCUGGGUGAGAAUCCCAAGGCGCUUGAGAGAACUCGGGUGAAGGAACUAGGCAAAAUGGUACCGUAACUUCGGGAGAAGGUACGCCCUAAGUAAGUAAAGUCCUUCGCGGAUGGAGCUGAACAGGGUUGCAAUAAAAUGGCCGCUGCGACUGUUUAUUAAAAACACAGCACUCUGCCAACGCGUAAGCGGACGUAUAGGGUGUGACGCCUGCCCGGUGCCGGAAGGUUAAUUGAUGGGGUUAGCCGCGAGGUGAAGCUCUUGAUCGAAGCCCCGGUAAACGGCGGCCGUAACUAUAACGGUCCUAAGGUAGCGAAAUUCCUUGUCGGGUAAGUUCCGACCUGCACGAAUGGCGUAACGAUGGCGGCACUGUCUCCACCCGAGACUCAGUGAAAUUGAAUUCUCGGUUAAGAUGCCGAGUUCCCGCGGCUAGACGGAAAGACCCCGUGAACCUUUACUAUAGCUUUGCACUGGACGUUGAACCGACUUGUGUAGGAUAGGUGGGAGGCUGUGAAGCGUGGACGCCAGUUCGCGUGGAGCCAUCCUUGAAAUACCACCCUGGUUUGUUUGACGUUCUAACCUCGCUCCAUGAUCUGGAGUAGGGACCGUGCAUGGUGGGUAGUUUGACUGGGGCGGUCUCCUCCCAAAGCGUAACGGAGGAGCACGAAGGUACCCUCAGCGCGGUCGGAAAUCGCGCAUUGAGUGCAAAGGCAUAAGGGUGCUUGACUGCGAGACAGACACGUCGAGCAGGUACGAAAGUAGGUCUUAGUGAUCCGGUGGUUCUGUAUGGAAGGGCCAUCGCUCAACGGAUAAAAGGUACUCCGGGGAUAACAGGCUGAUACCGCCCAAGAGUUCAUAUCGACGGCGGUGUUUGGCACCUCGAUGUCGGCUCAUCACAUCCUGGGGCUGAAGUCGGUCCCAAGGGUAUGGCUGUUCGCCAUUUAAAGUGGUACGCGAGCUGGGUUUAGAACGUCGUGAGACAGUUCGGUCCCUAUCUGCCGUGGGCGUUGGAGACUUGAGGGAAGCUGCUCCUAGUACGAGAGGACCGGAGUGGACGUACCCCUGGUGUUCCGGUUGUUUCGCCAGAAGCAUUGCCGGGUAGCUAUGUACGGACGGGAUAACCGCUGAAAGCAUCUAAGCGGGAAGCCCCUCCCAAGAUGAGGUCUCCCUGGGCACUUGAUGCCCCUGAAGGUUCGUUGAAGACUACAACGUUGAUAGGUCGGGUGUGGAAGUCCAGUAAUGGAUGCAGCUAACCGAUACUAAUUGACCGUGCGGCUUGACCAUAUAACACCCAAG
rnacentral:rRNA from 1 species